rnacentral:rRNA from 1 species
UACGGAGGGUGCGAGCGUUGUCCGGAAUCACUGGGCGUAAAGGGCGCGUAGGCGGUCCGGUAAGCGCGUGGUGAAAGCCCGGGGCUCAACCCCGGGUCGGCCGUGCGGACUGCGGGACUGGAGCACUGUAGAGGCAGGCGGAAUUCCGGGGUGUAGCGGUGGAAUGCGUAGAGAUCCGGAAGAACACCGGUGGCGAAGGCAGCCUUCUGGGCCAACACUGACGCUCAUGCACGAAAGCGUGGGGGAGCAAACAGG